rnacentral:lncRNA from 1 species
GGGAAACAUGAAGCUCAUACAAGAUAUAAAGACAUAUAAUUCACAUAGUAGAAACUGUAAUGCAAAAGUGGUAAAACCUAAUUAUGACCCAACUGAAGUAAAACAAAUGGGAUAAGAAACUCAGCCCACCCCAAAAUAAACGCUCAACCAAGAACAAAGCAAUUCACUAGACUUGUCCAACUCUGAUUAUCAACAUUAUUAAAUGGUGGUUCCUUUAUUAAAGGUGUAGUGGCCGUGCUGCUACAUCCCCUUAAUUCCCCAAAGCAGAAAUUAGGUGCCUGCAUCAAACAAUGCAAGAUGUGAGAUAACACAUCUCAGCAAGUAAACAUAACAACAACAAGUAGGCCAUUGUAAAUCAACUGUGCUUACACAACCACGUGUUCAGGACUUCUUUCUUUUCUUUUGAACAGUAAAUUGCAGCAAGUAUACAAGUAACUAAAAACUCAACGCCAAGUAGAAUCACCAUGCACAAGUCCAAAUAAUCCACAUCCACAUAAUAGAUUCAACACCUCUCCCAUGAAUGCACAUGGCUACAAAUGCAAUAAUGACUUCUGCCUCCAUAUCUCUAAGGAUAUGAAGCUGCACCAUACCCCUUCUCGGGCAACAUAUGAUGCUCAAUGUACCGGUACGGUCGGACCAUAAGAUCGCGAUGAAACUUCAAUGCAAUGGAUGAUGAGUGCAUUAUGCAUGACAACAUCAUAAGUUCUUCCCAAAUAAAAAUGUGCUAGGCAUUUACUUCCACACAUUCCACAUAAUAACCACUUGAGUAACAUAAUCAAACCUCAAACUCAACAUAUGAAAUCCAUGAAACAUGAACAUUUUCAAAUGAUGGUACUCAAAAGAAAAUAUGAAUUUGAACAUGAUAGCACAACAUAAACAAGUAUAAGACUCCUCAUCUGACAGACGGAAUAACCAUCACAGUUUUACUUGCCUUCACCGAAGUUUGGGCAAAAUCCCUAAGAACGAUCCGGAAGUCCACCACCUGUUUUUGACACCCAACUUAGUGCACCAAAUUCACAUAAAAAAACUCAAAGACAACACCGCACCUACGCACAAUCUCAAACCCCGCCGCGGUAACACUUCUCCCCUCACUAACCAAACUGCAGCGGCGCUGCUUAACAAUUCCAUAACUUAAAAAUUAGGACAGCAGUGGUGUCAAACAAAAACUUCAGAGACAACUACAUAAAAUUCCUCACAAGUUUUGUAUACAGCUCAUGAUUAAAUUCUAACAUCUAAUUACCUCUAAACGGUCCACAAAAUAAACCCUGCAAUCUGUUUUUUUCUGAUUUGGGCAGCAACAUACUCAGAUUCAAACAGCGAUAACUUUUAAAAUAUAAUUACGAUUUGAGCGCAUAAGUACUUGUUGGAAAGAUAAUAAAACCCCUACAUGAUUCUCAUACUGAUUAACACUAAUUACUCCCGAAAAAUCCCCAGAAACUGCUAAUACUGCUGCUGUUCAUCACUCUGAAAAAUCUGUUUUUUUGGACAGCCACACACCCGGAUUCAAACGAUGAUAACUUUUAAUUAAUAACUCCAAAUUGAGCGCAUAAAUACUCGUUGGAAAGGUAAAACAAAGUUCUACAAGAUCCCCAAAUUGAUCCCCAUUAAUUCUUCACGAAAAAACCCUAAAAACUGCUAGAACUUCCGCUGUUCAUCCACCACGUAAAAUUCUGGACAGCCCCCCUCUAUCUAAUCGCAAACGCAACAUCUAAUCAAUUGAAUCGCAGCGCAAAUGAACAAGGGAUGAACACAAAAAUCACCUUGGGUUCUCCCCCUUUCCUUCCUCCCUUCUUCCCUCCACCAAAACGGUUGGAGAAUCGCACCACGAGACGACGAUCCGAGCGGCAAGGAUUGGCACCUUGGGAGGAGGGGAUUGAGGGGGGCGGCUAGGGUUUGGUGGCUGCAAAAAUUGAGAGAGGAGGAGAUGGGCAGGGGGCGGCGGCCAAGGGGAGGAGGAGAAGUGGGGGGGCGGCUGCACAUGGGGGGAGGGGGUUAGGAGGGAGGCGGCUAGGGUUUGGGAGGGUUAAUGGGCCGAAACACCUAUUGCGGCCCAACUAACCCACGCUACAGCUCCCGACCGCAACGCUAGCGUCAAACCAAAUAAAUUCUACUGCCCUAGUUGUGAAUGUUUUCCACAAAAUUCCAAAUCCCCAAAACAACAACCGGAUGAGGAAAAAAACAAAAAGAACAACCCCCAACUUCUCUUCUUUGCAAACCGGGUAUCACACUCUACCCCUCUUAAAAAGAAUUCGACCUCGAAUUCUGACGCUUCUAUCGGAAUGACAAAAGAAAAGAUUAGUGAAUCAACAACACUUACCCACAACGAAAAGUUCCGAGUACUUCUGCCGUAUCAGCUCCUCAAGUUCCCACGUAGCCUCACGCUCAGACUGAUUAGUCCAUAAGACCUUGACAUACUUAAUUGAUCUCUUCCUCAACACACGCUCCGAGAAUUCCAAUAUACGCAUCGGACGACACUCUAGAGUCAGAUCCUGCUGCUGAGUCGCACGCACUCUCUCCAUAAGAGAGGAUUGAAUAAGCAUCUGAGUCUCCUCGCUAGCGGUGCCGACAUAACACAAAGCGAUCCCCAAACGGUCCAGAUCAGCGACCAACGGCAAGGCCACCUUUGGAACCCCGGACCUGCUAAGGGCAUCCGCCACCACAUUAGCCUUCCCCAGGUGAUAAUGAAUGGACAAAUCAUAGUCUUUAAUCAAUUCUAGCCACCGACGUUGCCUAAAAUUCAGCUCCUUCUGAGUAAAAAUAUACUUGAGACUUUUGUGAUCGGUGAAAAUGUCACAAGUCUCGCCAUAAAGGUAAUGCCUCCACGACUUUAGAGCAAAAACCACCGCAGCCAAUUCCAGAUCAUGAGUUGGAUAAUUCCCCUCAUGCUUCCUCAACUGCCUUGAGCCAUAAGCAAUCACUCUGCCUUCCUGCAUCAGCACACAGCCAAGACCGAUACGCGAAGCAUCCGUAUAAACUGUGAAACGCUUACCGCUCUCAGGCAAAGCUAGGAUAGGGGCGUCCACCAACUUGCUCUUCAAUGACUGAUAACUGACCUCACAUUCGCCGGACCAGACGAAGGGAACACCCUUCUCCAAGAGCCUAGUCAAAGGCUUAGCAAUGCUGGAAAAAUUUGGUACGAAGCGCCGAUAAUACCCAGCAAGCCCCAAGAAACUUCGGAUUUCAGAGACACUAGAAGGUCUCUUCCACUCCACCACAGCCGCAACAUUCUUGGGAUCAACCGCAAUACCCUGCUGAUUAAUCACGUGCCCCAGGAAAGCCACUUCGGAAAGCCAAAAGGCACACUUCUUCAACUUGCCAUAGAAUUGAUUCUUCCUUAGGGCACCCAGAACGAGACGGAGAUGUUGUUCAUGCCCGGCCUCGGUCUUUGAAUAAAUCAAAAUAUCAUCCAGGAAUACGACCACAAAAUCGUCCAGGAAUUCAUGCAGCAUCCUAUUCAUUGCUUCCAUAAAGGCAGCAGGGGCAUUAGUUAAGCCAAAAGACAUGACUAUGAACUCAUAAUGCCCAUACCUGGUGCAGAAGGCAGUCUUCUCAAUAUCCUCCUCACGAAUCCUCAAUUGAUGAUAACCCGAGUUCAAAUCAAUUUUGGAGAACACCUGGGCACCCCUCAACUGCUCAAAGAGGACCUCAAUUCGGGGAAGCGGAUAUUUAUUCUUGAUUGUCACUUGAUUCAAAACGCGAUAAUACACACACAGCCGCUUGCUUUUAUCCUUCUUCUCAACAAACAAUACUGGGGAAGCCCAUGGAGACCUGCUAGGCCUAAUGAAGCCCUUAGCCAGCAGAUCAUCCAAUUGCCGCUUUAAUUCAAUCUGCUCCUUUGGAGCCAUUCGAUACGGGGCCUUAUGAAUAGGCUGCGUACCCGGGAUCAGCUUAAUCUCAAAAGCUGCAUCGCGCUCCGGAGGAAUGCCUGGAAGCUCUGCCGGAAACACGUCAGCAAAGUCACACACCACCCGGAUGUCCUGCACCCGCAAGGCAGCCUCACCCUCCACCACCAUAGAGAAAAAGAUCCCCGACUUCCUUGACCGGCGAUCAGGAAGCAAUUGUGCCAACAAGGAUAAUGUGAACUUCGGGGAACUUCCCAAGAAUACCACCUCCUUACCCGACGGCGCCUGCAAUAACACUGUCUUCCAGAAGCAGGAUAUAACUGCGCGAUACUGGGAUAACCAAUCCAUACCCAAGAUAACAUCGAAUGCCCCCAAGGAAAUCACCACCAGAUUGGCCGAAAAAACCUCAUCAGCAAGAAUGACGGAACACCCCUGACAAACUGAACAGCUACUAAUGGAGCCAUUAGCGGAACUGACCAAAAUUGGGUGACCCAACCUCUGCACCGAAAGACCAGCCCGCGACACAAAAUCCUCCGAAACAAACGAAUAGCUAGCGCCAGAGUCAAAAAGAGUAUGGGCUGCAAAUGAAUCAACUGAAAUCGUACCUGUCACCACGUCUCCUUGCUCCCUGCCAUCCGUAGCGGGUAGCACAUAAGCUCCAGAAAUACCCGCAGAAGAGGAAGCUCCCGGAGUGAAAUUAACAGAAGAACCCCACUGAGCCACCGGAGGAGGCUGGCGUGGAGCUCCAAACUGAGUCAGCAUAGGUGUAGACGGUGCAGGAGUAGGCACAGCCUGAUACUGAGGAAAACCUUGCAUCGGCACGAACUGAGAAGUCCCAGGCACAUAAAGCUGCUGUGGAGGAAGAGGAACUCAAAACUGCUGCUCAGCACUCGACAUCAUAUUGAUAGUGCCCUGAGAAGAGGAGGAAGUUACUGGCUCCCAUCUAAGCUUCCCAUUGGGAUUCCUCCUACACACCACAUCUUUGUGGUCCUGACUGCAGAUAGAACACCUGCCACUCCACUGGCACUCUGCACGGCGAUGCGCAUCUCCACAGCGGAAACACACCAGCCCCAGCCCGGGCUUAGGAACGACCCGAAACCUCUGAGUACUUCCUCCCGAAGUACCUAAGUCAGAAGAUUUGCCACGGUAAGGAUGGUGGCGCUGAUGCUGAGACUUGCCCCUCUUGUGAGCUGGACCUCCAGUGUUGCCCCUCCUCGUGUCCUGGCUACGAGGCUGAUCAACACCCGAAGACUUCUGCGACUCCAUGGUGUACUGGUGUUGCAUCUCCACACCCAGCGCCUGCUCCACCGUGGUACGGAAGUCCACCAACGGAAAGGCCCCCAGUGCAUGCCUGAUAGAAGGCUUCAGACCCUGACGGAAUUGGCUCGCCUUCUCCAUCUCAUUAUAAGCCACAUGAGGGACAAAGCGGACCAUCUUGUUGAAGCCCACCUCAUACUCUGUGACAGACUUCUUCUCCUGCUUAUAGGACUGCAAGUCAAUCUUCAUUUUCUCCAGAAAGGUGACCGGGUAGAAUCUCCUUUCGAACUGCCUGAUGAAAACAUCCCAUGAUAGGACUCCUGGUGAGGAGGAGUGCGCUGCCUGCACGCCUCUCCACCAAAUUUGCGCCUCUCCCUUCAGCAGCUGAGUGCCAAAGCGAACCCGAUCUCCAUAUGCAAUCUCGAAGACAUUCAUCUUAUCCUCCACAUAAGUCAACCAAUCUGCCGCCUCGACCGGAGUACCACUGCCAUCAAAAGAAUCCAACUUCAUGCCCAUCCACUGCAUCAGAGAAAGACCACUGACUGGAAGAGGCACCUCGGCCCCGCCACCUGGAAUAGCACCCGCAGGGACAGUGCCCCCGGGCACUUCUCCACCUCCAGCACCCUGAGCAGCACCCGCAGGGGCGACAGGAAUGGCUUGCCUCAGAAGGGCCAACUCCUGCUGCAUGGCCUGCAUCGCGGCUAACAUUGCCGCCGGACUCAUCGAGUCCCUACUAGGAGCUUGCGGACUACCCCGAGCUCUACGAGGCGGCAUAGCUGCAGCCACAGGGAUGAGAACAAUAAGUAAAUGAGAUAAGCAUAGCAUCUCUCUAGAUAAUGUCAAAACUAGCACAGACAAUAACAUAAUCAUAUCAAUAGCAAGACAGAAAACCCAUCCUACAUGUGCAGUGUGUCAAUUUAUUACUACUCCACUUGCUAGGACCUACAGCCUAUCCUCUGAACCAACUGUAACACCCCACUGGUCGCACAGAAUGGAUAAUACCAAAAACCUCAUCCACUAUACUUACUCAACACAAGAGAUGUAAUAAAGAAAGAAUAUAAAGCAAGAAAAAAUCCGGCAGCACCUCCUUUGAAAACUAGCAUAACAAGGAGGGGAAACAUGAAGCUCAUACAAGAUAUAAAGACAUAUAAUUCACAUAGUAGAAACUGUAAUGCAAAAGUGGUAAAACCUAAUUAUGACCUAACUGAAGUAAAACAAAUGGGAUAAGAAACUCAGCCCACCCCAAAAUAAACGCUCAACCAAGAACAAAGCAAUUCACUAGACUUGUCCAACUCUGAUUAUCAACAUUAUUAAAUGGCGGUUCCUUUAUUAAAGGUGUAGUGGCCGUGCUGCUACAUCCCCUUUAUUCCCCAAAGCAGAAAUUAGGUGCCUGCAUCAAACAAUGCAAGAUGUGAGAUAACACAUAUCAGCAAGUAAACAUAACAACAACAAGUAGGCCAUUGUAAAUCAACUGUGCUUACACAACAACGUGUUCAGGACUUCUUUCUUUUCUUUUGAACAGUAAAUUGCAGCAAGUAUACAAGUAACUAAAAACUCAAUGCCAAGUAGAAUCACCAUGCACAAGUCCAAAUAAUCCACAUCCACAUAAUAGAUUCAACACCUCUCCCAUGAAUGCACAUGGCUACAAAUGCAAUAAUGACUUCUGCCUCCAUAUCUCUAAGGAUAUGAAGCUGCACCAUACCCCUUCUCGGGCAACAUAUGAUGCUCAAUGUACCGGUACGGUCGGACCAUAAGAUCGCGACGAAACUUCAAUGCAAUGGAUGAUGAGUGCAUUAUGCAUGACAACAUCAUAAGUUCUUCCCAAAUAAAAAUGUGCUAGGCAUUUACUUCCACCCAUUCCACAUAAUAACCACUUGAGUAACAUAAUCAAACCUCAAACUCAACAUAUGAAAUCCAUGAAACAUGAACAUUUUCAAAUGAUGGUACUCAAAAGAAAAUAUGAAUUUGAACAUGAUAGCACAACAUAAACAAGUAUAAGACUCCUCAUCUGACAGACGGAAUAACCAUCACAGUUUUACUUGCCUUCACCGAAGUUUGGGCAAAAUCCCUAAGAACGAUCCGGAAGUCCACCACCUGUUUUUGACACCCAACUUAGUGCACCAAAUUCACAUAAAAAAACUCAAAGACAACACCGCACCUACACGCAAUCUCAAACCCCGCCGCGGUAACACUUCUCCCCUCACUAACCAAACUGCAGCGGCGCUGCUUAACAAUUCCAUAACUUAAAAAUUAGGACAGCAGUGGUGUCAAACAAAAACUUCAGAGACAACUACAUAAAAUUCCCCACAAGUUUUGUAUACAGCUCAUGAUUAAAUUCUAACAUCUAAUUACCUCUAAACGGUCCACAAAAUAAACCCUGCAAUCUGUUUUUUUCUGAUUUGGGCAGCAACAUACUCGGAUUCAAACAGCGAUAACUUUUAAAAUAUAAUUCCGAUUUGAGUGCAUAAGUACUUGUUGGAAAGAUAAGAAAAAGCCCUACAUGAUUAUCAUACUGAUUAACACUAAUUACUCCCGAAAAAUCCCCAGAAACUGCUAAUACUGCUGCUGUUUAUCACUCUGAAAAAUCUGUUUUUUGGACAGCCACACACCCGGAUUCAAACGAUGAUAACUUUUAAUUUAUAACUCCAAAUUGAGCGCAUAAAUACUCGUUGGAAAGGUAAAACAAAGUUCUACAAGAUCACCAAAUUGAUCCCCAUUAAUUCUUCAUGAAAAAACCCUAAAAACUGCUAGAACUUCCGCUGUUCAUCCACCACGUAAAAUUCUGGACAGCCCCCCUCUAUCUAAUCGCAAACGCAACAUCUAAUCAAUUGAAUCGCAGCGCAAAUGAACAAGGGAUGAACACAAAAAUCACCUUGGGUUCUCCCCCUUUCCUUCCUCCCUUCUUCCCUCCACCAAAACGGUUGGAGAAUCGCACCACGAGACGACGAUCCGAGCGGCAAGGAUUGGCACCUUGGGAGGAGGGGAUUGAGGGGGGGCGGCUAGGGUUUGGUGGCUGCAAAAAUUGAGAGAGGAGGAGAUGGGCAGGGGGGUGGCGGCCAAGGGGAGGAGGAGAAGUGGGGGGCGGCUGCACAUGGGG